GCAUUGGUGGCUCAGUGGUAGAAUUCUCACCUUCCAUGCGGGAGAGCUGGGUUUGAUUCCUAGACAGUGCA
rnacentral:tRNA from 1 species